rnacentral:rRNA from 1 species
AGAGCGAACGCUGGCGGCAGGCUUAACACAUGCAAGUCGAGCGGGGUAGCAAUACCCAGCGGCAGACGGGUGAGUAACGCGUGGUCAACCUUCCGUUGAAUGGGGGAUAACUAGCCGAAAGGUUAGCUAAUACCGCAUACGAUCUUUUGAAGGCAUCUUUAAAAGAUGAAAGGAGCAAUUCGUUCAACGACGGGACCGCGUCCCAUUAGCUAGAUGGUGGGGUAAUGGCCUACCAUGGCAACGAUGGGUAGCUGGUUUGAGAGAGCGACCAGCCACACUGGGACUGAGAAACGGCCCAGACUCCUACGGGAGGCAGCAGUGAGGAAUUUUCCGCAAUGGGCGAAAGCCUGACGGAGCGACGCCGCGUGUGGGAAGAAGGCCUUCGGGUCGUAAACCACUGUCGAAGGGGACGAUAAUGACGGUACCCUUGGAGGAAGCCCCGGCUAACUACGUGCCGGCAGCCGC